AAAAAGACAAACCCUGGGUUUCCAUGUCCAACGUUUGACUGUCCGUCUUAUAUGAAUUUUUUUUAUAAUUAGUAUUUUCAUUGUUGUUAGAUGAUAAAACAUGAUUAAUAUUUUAUGAAUGACUUAUCUUUUUAAUUUUUUUAAUAUUUUUUUUAAAUAAGACGGACGGUGGAAAAGAAAAAAAAAACUGGAGAAGCUGGUUCA
rfam:Oryza glumipatula chromosome 2, whole genome shotgun sequence.